UAGUCGGAGGUGUGUCUCGGACGGUCGGUUCGCCGCUUGUCGGUGCUCAACUGGCCGGUCCGGACGUCCUGCCGGUGGGGCCGCAAGGUCCCGUUAUCCUUCUUUGGUCCUCUUCACCGAGUGCCUUGGUGGGCCGGCACGUUUACUUUGAACAAAUUAGAGUGCUCAAAGCAGGCCGUUGGUCGCCUGAAUACUGUGUGCAUGGAAUAAUGGAAUAGGACCUCGGUUCCAUUUUGUUGGUUUUCAGAACUCGAGGUAAUGAUUAAUAGGGACGGACGGGGGCAUUCGUAUUGCGACGUUAGAGGUGAAAUUCUUGGAUCGUCGCAAGACGAACCGAUGCGAAAGCAUUUGCCAAGAACGUUUUCGUUGAUCAAGAACGAAAGUUAGAGGUUCGAAGGCGAUCAGAUACCGCCCUAGUUCUAACCAUAAACGAUGCCAGCUAGCCAUCCGCCGAAGUUCCUUCUAUGACUCGGCGGGCAGCUUCCGGGAAACCAAAGCUCUUGGGUUCCGGGGGAAGUAU
rnacentral:rRNA from 1 species